CCGACCUUAGCUCAGUUGGUAGAGCGUGAGACUGUAAUGGUUACCCCAAUCUCAAUGUCGCCUGUUCGAUCCAGGCAGGUCGGA